AUCAAACUCCAUGCAUCAAGGGGCAUUAUUUUUGGAUCUCCCAACUUUAGCAAAGUUCACCUGGGUGGGGAUUAUUAAAUGGCUUAUGUUAAAGCAAAUGGAUGCAGAAUCCAUGGUUUGCAUGGGACCUUCGAGACCUGGAGUCCAGCAGCCCUACUGUAGUGGGUUUCAGGCACACAGACAACUUUCCUUAUUACAGAGGAAACUGAUGUUUUCCAAAAUUGGGACACAGAACUGUAAGACCCAUUUCAACAGGAGCAAAGUAUGCUGCAAUUGUAAUGCAUCUGUGUUUCUAUGUUACUGAACAGGCUUGGUGACUAAUAGCACUAUACGCACCGUUACCCACCCCUCUGUGCCAGGGUUACACAAAGAUACGUCCAAAAGGUUUGUAGAGUUCAUUACUUCAACUGCAUCAAGGGUUGUGACAUAUCCAUCAGGAAACAACCUUUCUGGAACUGUAGGGCCGUCCCAUCCGGAGUAUGUACCAAGAAUAUCUCUACAAAGUUUACAGCCACCGAAUGAAGCACUCAACCAACACAUUCAUAACCGAACACAAAACACUUCUGAAGCCAGUAUAUGCCUUUCAUGUGAAGAAAACACACAGGAUUUUACAGUAGAAUUUACACUGCCCACUGCCAGACCAACCUACUCUGCAGAUCCUGGUGCAUGGAUCACUAUACCAGUUUUACCUACCGAAGAAACACGGAUAGACCCAUUAUUGGACAUUUUA